GGUUGGUUCAAAGGGAGAAGCAGAGGUAGGAAGUGAAAUAUAACGCGGUUCAUAGCUUUAGUAGCUGUAAUGAGAGUAGUCGAUCUUUCGUUUGUAAGUGAGUUGGGGGUUCCUCAACAAGGGAAAUGAGUGAACAAAAAUCUAAUCAAGACGAAGAGGGGAAAAUGAAGCCUUUAUUUAAGAUUCUCAUCCUAUGAUUAAGGGUGAUUGUCUGAACUGCUGUGCACUAUGAUCUUUUUUUUUUUCCGACGACGAGGGUUAGGAUCGACGGGCAACCGUGUACCUCGAGAAGAGUAUCGGCUCAUCUUCUCCGUACUUAGGCUGCUCUUCCUCCGGGAGGAUUUCAUCAGCGGAACAUUUUCUACGCUACGUUCGUCACCAACGUACGUCCCUAAAAAAAGAAGAAAAAGAGACUCUUUGCUGGUCAGAUUGAUUGAAUGCUUUUAUUCAUGUCCAAGAGUCUGAUUAGCCAAACGUGGACCUGCCCACCAACCGCCCUGGGCGCUGGUUCCUCAAAGUCAAAGCGCUAGUGCACACUUGAAGCGAAAGAUUCUUCUUCUUUUGAGCGAGUGCCUUUUGCUCAUAAAGUGU
rnacentral:misc_RNA from 1 species